rnacentral:rRNA from 1 species
AUACGGAGGGUGCACGCGUUACUCGGAAUCACUGGGCGGAAAGCGCGCGCAGGCGGCUAUUUAAGUUGUAUGGGAAAGCCUACGGCUCAACCGUAGAACUGCAUCCAAAACUAUUUAGCUAGAGUGUGGGUGAGGAAGAUGGAAUUAGUUGUGUAGGGGUAAAAUCCGUAGAGAUAACUAGGAAUACCAAGAGCGAAGGCAAUCUUCUGGAACACUACUGACGCUGAGGCGCGAAAGCGUGGGGAGCAAACAGGAUUAGAAACCCCAGUAGUCC